UAAAUGCGUAGAUCUAACUGAACCAGGACAAGGAGGAAGCUAGAAUAAUGGAUGAAAUAAAAGAUGUUAUAAGUGAAAAAUGGAUUGUCAUCAUUUAAUUAAACUUGACCUUGACCUUGAUUUCAUGUUGACAUUAAAGGUCAGAUCAGUGAUAUUUGCUUACAUUAAGAUUGCCAUUCAACAAUAUGAUAAAAUAACCUCAGUAAGACGAAGUAAACAAUGGCUUCAUAUAGCCAAAAACUUUCAGAGAAGAAAUACAAUAACUGGGUUAAAGCUCAGUUAGCAGUGUUGUUUACUAAAGAUGGACUUGAGCCUUUUGUAUGUCAUGAAGUUCAAGAAUUCCGGUUGAAAUGUUUAAAUGAUAUUUGCUACAACAACAGAUUAAUAAGCGGAACUUUGUGUUCAAAUUGCUGUACAGAAAAUGUUAUUAAAUGUCCUACAAAUAGAAUAUGUAGUGUUGGACGUGGAAAAUGCAGUUAUCAUCGAAAUGCUGCAACAAGGUAUAAUCCUGCCGGCUGCCCUAACAAGAUAUGUCAUAAUUUCUCAACUGAGACACAAAAUGUACAUAGGUACUAUGGUCCAUCGUACAAAAACACCGAUGCUACACAGUGGUGCAGUAAUUCCUGGGAGAUAGCGAAAUGUUUCAUGCCCCCAGAUGGCUAUAAAGAUAUAGUUAGUGCACACGACACAGACUUCAAUGGCAUCAUUAGUGUUAUCAUUAAUCACAAAGACUUCCAGGGGAAAAUACAUGAAAACCUAGGCAACAAGAACAACAUUUUCGAGCAGGCAAGAGAAAUUGGUAGAAAUUUGAGGCAUUCAUCAACUUUAGAGGUUGAAGAUACAGAUCUUCAUCAAUACUUCAUAGUAUUACAACAACUUCUUUCUGAUGCCGGAUAUUUAGCUACAGACAUGCACGCACAACAUGCCAAACAGAAGCUGAUAGAUCUAGAAAAUGACAUCCUGGUUAUUGGAAAAGAUGAUAUAAUGAAAGUACUUGAUAAUGUUGCGAAAGCAACUCGGGACACUAUAACUGAAGAACUGAUUAAACGAAAACAAGAAGAUCUUCUUUCUCUGGACUCAAAAUCUCAUGAUGGAUUGCAACAGAAUGAAACUAAAAUCGAUGAUUCGUUAAAAACAAUUGAAAACCAAGCUGACAAAAGCGUCAAAGACAUAGAAAAGGCUAGAGAAAACUCAGUUCAAAUAAUGCUUCAAAAGGAAAAGGUAAAAACACAAAGCAAGAGAAUAAGAGAAGAAUGUGAAAGAGCAGUUGAAACUAUCAAAGAAGAAGGAGAUAAGGGGAGAAUCGAUAAAGCCAAUUUAGCAGAGACUCUAGAAGAAACACUCUACACAAGGAUUAAUGAUGACAAGGAGAAACAGUACAUUGAUGAUAAACAGAAAUUUAAAGAUGUACUUAUUACAUGGUACAAUACCUUUCAAAGUACAGUUCCUCUUUCACCACUAACAGAUGGUUUUGAUACCCACCUCGUUGGUUUUUAUGUCAUGCCAGGAAUGAACAUUCUUGUAAACUUACCCGGUGGAAAGAAGGAAAAAACUAGAGUCAAGUCUUUACAAGGCCUAUUUACAUCUGGAAGUAAUGAUCUGAAAGAAAUUUAUUUAUGCGCUGAUGCUGGCUUUGGAAAAACUGCAUUUUCAAAGUAUCUCGCUAUAACAUGGUGUCAAGCUCAUAAAAAUGAUGACAAUUACAAGCAUUUUGAAGAAGAUGUGCUGCAAGCGUUAUCUGGCUUUGAGUUUAUGUUUCUCGUGCUAUUAAGAGAUUCAGCUACAGAAUGUGGUGUAUACGACAUGAUCAAACAACAAAUCAUAAAUAAUCUUCCUUGUAAAUCUGAAAUACCAAAAAAUCUUUUAAAUGACAUUCUACGUAAUGAAAAAUGUCUUGUUAUAUUGGAUGGACUAGAUGAAUGGACUCAUCCUGACAACGAUUGUUCAAGACUUCCUAAAAUUAUUCCUCAUCGAUAUGCAAGUGAAAAGUGUGUGAUCUUAACAACGACCCGGUCGUGGAAGCUUGGAAUAUCAAACUUGAGGACAUGUCCAAUAGACAGGACAGUAGAGCUAGUUAAAUUCACCAAAGAAAGUGCCAGGCAAUUUAAGAUCAAUGUCAUGAAAAUAUUGAAUGUCAGCCUUCAAGAUGAUGUACUCAUACAAAAGGUAUGUAGAUUUGAAGAGGAAAUUAGAGACCAUGACCUUGAAGAUGUAGAAUCUACCCCUCUUCUUUUACUCUAUCUUAUAUGUGUUUGGAUUGAAAAAAUUCCAAUUGGAAAUUCUGCAGUAAAAUUAUAUACUGGCAUUAUUCAGCUCAUUCUAUCCAGAACUGAGAAAUUAUAUGGAAAGUUCCAUUCAUCAUGUGAAACAUCCACAAGUAAUGUUCCUGAAUGUUUCAGAAAGCAUAUACAUUUCUGUAGUUACUACACGUAUCUGGUUAACAUUGGGGAACUAGCUUUCUAUACAUUGUUCAGGGCGAAAAAAGAAAGUAAACUAGUUUUUGAUAAAUAUAUCGCUGAAAAAUAUCUUACCCAAAAUGAAUUGAAAUCAAGCUGUCUAUCAGGAAUAUUAUCAGAAAGUAAAGUGAAAACAUUAUUAAAUGAGAGGUCUAAGAUCUCAUUUUCACAUAAAACAGUGCAAGAAUACUUUUCAGCAAUAUUUAUAAGUUUCCGAAAUACAAGUGAAGUUCAGAAAAUCAUCUUUGUAGAGUGCAAUUGUUUACAAAAUAUACUAGACAUGUCAAAAGUGUUUGUCUUUAUUAGUAGCAUGAACCCUAAAUUAAUGUCUGCAAUAUCAAGUAAUUUGAUGCCUGUGAUAAACAAUGAUGAAAAAACGAGCAAAUACAGAACUAGAAUAGAUCAGUAUUCCAUGCACAGUCAGCAAUUACAAGACAUACAAGAUAUGUAUAUUUGGUGUGCCAAAGAAGGAAUGGAAAACAAAGACCUUAAAUUGUGUUUACAAGAUUUCAUAAUUAAUGAAAAAUGUCACCAAGAAAACUACUUCCAACAAUUACGACAUCUGUGUCAACAAAAUAAAAAAAACAUAAAAUCAAUGAUAAUUGAAAAUGAAGGUAUGUGUAGUCUACAAGAAAUUGUAAAUUUGUUUACACUCUCUGACCUUCCACAUAUAGAGAAAUUGUACUAUAGUGGUGAAAUUGUAGAAGAGGAAAUAGUGAGCUUGUUGUUGAACCCUUUAAAAUGUUUAGCUUUGAGUUCAUGUAUAUGGGAAAAUCAUAAAUUUUUAGAAGAACCUUUUCGGCUGUCUGCAGAGAUAAAUGGACAACUAGUAAAAUUACAACACCUGGAGUGUUUAUAUAUACACAGUUUCACUAUGAGCCACGAGGUAUUGGAGACAUUGUUAAAUUUUCUCACUAGUAAAAAAUCAAUGAAAGAAAUAACAUUGGAAAGUUUAAACUGUAGUGAUCAUGAUACUUCAUGUAGGGGAUUCACCCUUGACCUGUCUCAACAUUCACAACUAAGAUGUUUAGGAUUGCUCGGGAUACCUGUGUCACCAUCAAACAUAGAUGUUUCGUUGUUAGAGGAAUGUACUGUAGGUGAAUUAUAUAAACCUGGUGUUGUGUCAUCUUAUCUAAGUCAACUACCAGCAGCCAGUAAACUACACACAUUUACAUUUGGUGGUCUAGAUUCUUCCAGUGACAUAGAAACAAUGUUACAAAUACUACCACUGUUACAUCAUGUGAAACAUGUGAUGUUGUGUGAUAUCAGUCUAGGUGAAAGAUCAUUAAUAUUGUCACCUCAAAUGACCAAUAUUGAACUUGUUACCUUGUGUGAUAUAACAAUGUCUUGUCCAGUGUUAUAUAAUCUCAUUACUGUUAUAAACAAACUACCACAAACAGUGACAAUACAAAUGGCAGGUUGUGAUAAAAAACCAACAACAGAAUUUGAAAAUUUUAAAAUAUUUAUAAAACACUCAGACAAUUUUGUGGUCACAUAUGAUGACACCUCGAAGUCUGGAGAGUACAGGUUUGACUUUAAUACAACACAAGUACUGAGUAACCUUAAGUGAACUUAGAGAAACAAUUUAUAAAUAGAUUAUGAGACAAGUGACAGGUGAAAUAGACAUCAUUCUUUAUUUUUUGAAUAGACAGUUUGAUAAUCAAUACCAGGGAAUAGAAAUGUAUGGACAUAUGAAUGGAAAUUUAAGAUUGUCUUCAUGGAAAUAUUACAACAUUGAUUGAUGUUGAUAAACAACAAAUGGAACGUUUCAGGGCGGCGACCACAGCUGCUCUUAUAUUAUUUAUGAGGCGGAGCUGACCAGCGUUAGACAAGUGACAUCCAUCUGAUGAGAAAUUUUGAUGUUUACAGGCUGAUGACCAAAAUCCCUUCAUACGCCAUAAAUCUACAUCUACAUCAUACUGCUUAACAAUCAAUUCUGAUUAUGACUAGCAUGAUCUAUGAUCUAUUGUGUUCUUGUUUGUUCAGUUUUUCCAUCAAUAGAGAAUUGAGUUCAUCGACACGAACAUUAAACCAGUCAACAUCUACUGGAUAUCUCGUAUGAACUGAUGGAGAAAGUCUGUGCAGGACUUGUAACACUAUAACUUUCUGAACUUGUGUCACAAACAAAAGGGUGUCCACCAGGUCAACGAUGCUAUUUGCAACUGAUCGAGGGAGAAAUAUCUGGCCUGUAUAUAUCGUUUGUGCCGAUAACCAAAACAACUUUGUCGGGAUUGAAAUCGUAAACAACCUCUAGGCGUUGUCGAAGUUUUGACACUGUAGCGCCAGAAUAUCCGGAAUAUUGAACCAUUGCAUGGCCAUGUAAGUUCAAAUCAUAUCGCUGCGUACUAUCUCCUCGAUUGAAUUCCCUUAGUCUUUUCACAAAUGAGUGUCCAAAUAUUUGAAUUUUAGGCGCAGUGAUUUCAGCCAUGAUGGUUGUAUAACAAUGGAAAAUUCCUUUGUUUACAGCUCGCUUGAAAAUCUGCCACUUUACACUGGAAAAAGAGACAAAAACGAGGUCGCCGCCCCAACAAUUAACGUCCAACAACUUUUAAUAACAAUAUAGCGUAUUUUAAUACACCUGUUAAAAUCGAUUAAUUCUUGUGAAUGAUAAAGCUUUAUUUGAAUCGAGUUGACCUCUGGUUAUAUCAGCUUAUCUCGUUGGUCAACGGUUUAUUUUUUAGAUUUCUGAUUGGAUUAAUUCAAAUUUCUGUUAUUGAAUUUGAUAGGUUGUUUAAUUACCUAUAUAUAGGUUAUUUUGCUUUUGCUAGCCAUUCUGUUACUUAUUUCGUAGUCGAGAUCACGUUUCUAGUCUUUUUGCCCACCCACCCUAGCCCAUUUGGUUUUGCAAUUAGUUUUUAUUGCAUUUAGUUAUUUUAGUACUGCAUUUUGGUAAAUAUUCAUAAUAAUUAGUAAUUCUUUGUGGUUGAUAAUAUAUCAUUCUAUAGUUAAUUAGUGUUGACCAAUUUUGCAGUUAUUUAGUGAUAAUUCGUGAUCAUUUUUUAAGCUAAUUAAAUAUCAUUAUUGAUAUUUCUGUCUUGGUUUUUCUCUUUUAAAUUUUAAAUGAACAAUAAUUAACUAAUAUAUUGCGAUAAUGUUUCACCUUGAAACAAAGAUACUAAUGUAAAAUCUUGAGAAUUUCGUUGAAAGAAAUGGCGAGAACUUCUCCUUCGCCAUAUAAUAUUUGCUAUGAAAGCUUACGAGCCCUGAUUGGUUCGAAAGCAUCACGUGAUCUAAAGUCACAACCUCAUUGGCUAAAAAGUUAAUUUAUGUAGAAAGCUAAAAACUGAUUUUGACCGUAACAAUUCAGUAAUAGGGAAAAUUUGUAAUCAAGAGGGGGGCCAAUGACAUAAAUUAUUUUAUGUGUUCAUAAAAUCUGAUAAAUGUAAAAUUCCAAGUUGUAUCUUAUGCCGGCUCGCGGUAUUACGUUAGGAUUUUACUUAAAAAUAACCUAAAAAUCCGAAUCCUUCCAAAAAUUAAAUCGAAGCUUGGCUUCCAGCUUUCUACAAAACUUAUCUGUCAGGGCUGGAAUCCAAAAUUAUUUAGCCAAUCAAAUUUCAUCUUACAAAGCGUCAAAAAAACUUCAAUUUUCACGCCAUUUUUAAAAAGCAGCAAGUAUCGCUUUGAGCGCAAAGAUAUAAUGAUGAUUGAUAUGUUUGUUUUCAAAAAAUGUUAUUUACACUGACUUCUGAUUUAGUUUUCUAUGUACAUGUAGUAAGUUUUCGUUUGGUUAAUUAACAUAAGUGUACAUCUGGUUCUAUGCAUUUUUUUCUUUCUUUUUCUUUUUUCCGGUCAUUUUAUCCUUUCCGGUAUUUAGUGUAUGUAUUUACUGGGAUAUACUAUUCUCCGGUUCGGUCGUUUCCGGUCUCUCCCGGUCUAUUUUGACCGGGAUUUACGAGACUCAUGCCCCAUGAAUCUAAAUUCGCCCACACCCAAGAGAGUUCUUCAGUAAUAUAUUCGUGUAUAGGACUUGUGUCUGUCAAUCAUUCCAAUACUAAAUAACAUAUUACAACUUCGUAUAAAGAGACAUCUGUAUGAAUUCUACAUAUCUAACAUUUUUUGGGUCAAGGUCAACAUGCUCUAUAGUAAAUGUGCAUAGACAUAGGGACUUCAUUCUAUCUGUUUACAUGCAUCUUCAUAUAUAUACUCAUAUUCCUCUUUGUUAAACUGAGUGAACUGGCUUCCAUAACUUUUGAUGUCACUUGUAUUUUGAUGUUCGCUGAAGUCCCUUCAGCUAACAGAACUGUCAUUUUUACAUUUAAACACACCCCUUGAUAAAAAUUACGAAGCGAGUCGCUACUAGCUUUUUUAAAAGCUAACCUUGUCAUGUGUCUACUGUAAAAUUUAUUUCAUUAGUUAAGACAAUGUAAGAAGAUAUAGUAUUAAAGUAAUACAAUAAAAUCUCAGAGAUUUUCGUGAGAGAAUAAAGUAAAACAUAGGCUGUAGAGCGAUAAGUACAUGAUCUGUACAUGGAACAAAACUUAUCAUUAGUAACUCAAACGGAAGACGAAUUUCAGCAACUACUGUGAUGCUGUAUUAAUAAUAUCUGUCAUAUUUUGCGGUUCGGAUCGGAAUAUCCGUCCCGAGGUGACUUUUUCUUGCAUAUUCUUCCAUAUUUUAUUAUAUGCUAAAUUCUUUAUCUUAAUUUUCAAUGAAAAAUUAUAUAAUUACAACCGUUAUUACUUUCUUUCAACAGCGUAUGAAUUACAAAAUCAUUCAUAACGGUAAAAGGACGUCAACUUUAUCGUGCCAUUGUACAGUACGCGACUCAUCUGGAACCCCCAUGCCAGAUGAAAUUUCCGGCAUGGGUAAAACUAACGAAACGCCAGUCUCAUAUGCAAGAAAUCUGUAUGAAAUGGGAAUCUUGAUUAUCAUAAUAAUCAAAGACAUAUGUUUAAAUAUUUAAACAGUAAAAGAUGUUCAGGAAUAACACUGAUCUUGAAGUUUUGUCAGCAAUUUAUUACCUUUUUUCUGUGUCUUUGUGGUACUAAAUAUACAAGUCUAGUCAUAGUGAUAUUGCUUAGUGCUCCAAAAAUAAAAACAACUUAUUUUCUUGCUACAUGUACUAAAAUAAAGGAAUUAUUAUUUACUAUAACAAAGUUGUGACAUACCAACAUAGACAUGAAUUUAGAUAACACAUUAAAGAUCUUAUGAAACUUAAAAUGUGCACCAGCUUACAUAAUUAUAAUAUAGCAUUGCCUAGUAUGUAUCUUCAAUAGUGAAAGUAAUUAUCUUCUUUUAUGAAAAAUAGUUCGGCUUAUUGUCUAGAUUUGUUUGAUGGACAGUUUCUUCUGCAGGGAAGCAUAUUCUCCCAAGAAACGUUAAGAUAAUUGGCAUGUAGUACCAGGUUUCUUGUUGAUCACUAUUGAAUAUGUAUUAAUUGUUCUCUUAGAUCAAACUAUUCAUUCUAUAAAGACUUACAUAAAUAUUUUUGUGUGAACUACAAGUCCUUAACAUUAAGACGUCUUGGAAUUCUACAAGAUACAUGAAUCCUGAGCCAUAGCACCGCAUUUAAUGUGAUCAAAUCACCUUCUGUAAUUUUGUGAACACUUGAUAUCCAUUGCCAUCAUUUCCUUAUGCUUUACGUCUAAAACAAAACAGUGUUAUGUGAUGAAUUCUGAUAUUAUAUACUCAGGGAAAACUAUAUACAUGUAUGUACUUGACAAAGAUUAUGUAAACACAUUUUUGUUGCUGUUGUUCAAUAUUUUGUUCACUAAAAAUAUGUAGAGUUUGCUUCGAUUUUAUGCAUUUAUGCACAUGUUAUUGUCAUACAUGAAUUGUUUAAAAUAUUUCUUUAUGUAAUUAUAGACAGAAAAUUAAAUAUUAUAGCCGUUAAAUUGCAUAUAAAUGUUUUAUUUGUAUCAGUUGAUCUAUUUAUUGCAUGGACCCAUUUUACCAUAUUAUAUUGUAAUUUUGCGUCUUGUGUACAGAGAUAAUAUAAUUAUUCUCAAAAUUAGAAUGUUACUAAUAAUACAAUUCAUGCUAUAUAAGAAAAUGAAUUUGAAAUAUGUUAUAUUAACUACCUACAUGUUUAUAUGCAGAACAGAUUUUAUCAAACAGUUGCUCCAGAUGAACCAAAAUAUUUCAAGAAAAAUCAAAAUGGAGAAAAAAAUGUACCAAUGUUUAAAAAAAGUAAAAAUUGUUUCAAGUUACAUGUUAUGCAUGUUAUGUUAAAGUGUUUUUUUUUCUUCAUAUUAUGACAUCCUGUUGGCAAGAUAUGUAGAUUUUGAGUGCUGCUUGCAACGUAACGUACUUUCUUUGACCCCUAAACAAUAUUUUACUUUUAAAUACAUUUUCAAAAAUUCAUGAAAUUGUGCAUGUGGAUGCAUUCUUGUUUUAGAGGCAUAAUUCUCUUUUGUUUAAUUAAAUAGUUGUUGACCUUUGUAAUUUUUCAUCCUUAACUUUGUCCCGAGCACUAAUAAUGUAUUCUCGGUGGCAACUUUAAACUUCAUACAUGGAUAUUUUUUAAGAAAGGAAAGUUAUGAUUAAUCAUAACACUUUUUAUAUUUUGUUUAUCCCUGUGUAAUUGAAAUGUUUAUUUCUAUUAAAUAUGUAAAUAUUCUCUUUAGGUAAAUGUGCCAAAUAAUGUUUAUAAUGUAAGUGUAUUAUAUACAUGAAGGAACUCUACUGAGGUCCAAAAUCACAAAAUUCAAAUUUCCGAUAAGAUAAGCUGACGUACUUAAAAAGAUAGAAAUGCAAUAUAUUCAGAAAUGAAUUGAAAGUGAUACAUUGUUUUCUAUUCUUAGCCUGCUUUAAGCGAACGGCUUUGUAACACUUUUCAUCUUUUUGUCAGUUUCCACAAUUUGAAUAUUAAUAAUGUCAACAUUUCUGCAAGAAAAGUAUGAAUUAUGUUAAACGAUAAAAUAUAUCCUUAGCCACAAGGUAUAUUUGUAGAGUAUGCACAGUGUUACGUUUUUAAUGCAUUUCAUAUAUUUAAAUGCUUUAUGUAUAUAAAUGCAUCAGUUAUGGAAAAGUAUUAUCUCCUUAAGAGUUUCAAGCGUGAGAAUGAAUUAAGUAAGUAAAUGAUUAAAAUAUGCAAACUUAAUUUAUAUAUUUAUGAUUAAGUAUGCUAUGUGUUCAUUAUGUAAAUGACAAAAUGCAGUCAUUUUGUACAUUUAGAGAAACUAGCAUUAAUAAUAAAAGUAUGAUAUAAUCUGUAGACCAGUCUGUGUACAUAAAGUUAUUACGACCUAAAUGUUUUAGAUAUUGCAAAGAAGGAAUAAGAGUUGGUCUUUAAUUUUCGUUUUGUAUUCUCUCCUUUGUUCAUAUUUAGUUAAUGCAUAAUACGAGUAUUGUCCUAUAUUGUCCAGGUGUUGAAGGCAAUAUACAAACUCAAGUCUUAUUUAGUUAAAUUCACUAAUAUUGAUGUUAAGAACUCCUUAGAACUAUUUGAUAAGUUAGUUGUUCCUAUUUUAACUUUGGAUGUGAAAUAUGGGGAUUCAAAGAAACAAAUGUUAUAGAAAGAAUACAUUUACAAUAUUGUAAACAACAUUUAGGAGUACGUGCCCAAACCCAGAAUAAUUUUGUCUCUGGAGAAUUAGGUCGAACAUGUUUACUUUCUAAUAGGCUAAUAUGUAUAGUAAGAUUCUGGUUUAAAAUAUUAGAAUGCGAAUGCACAAAAUAUGUAAGACAUGUAUACGAUAUGAUGUUAAGAGACUUAGAAAUGUAUCCUAAUAAGAUUUCAUGGGCCUAUAAUAUUAAACUUUUACUAGACUCAUUAGGUUUUAAUCAUGUGUGGCUAUUCCAAGGAGUUGGAAACAAAAAUAUUUUUAUAGAUGUAUUUAAGCAAAGAAUGUAUGAUAAUUGUUUACAACUAUGGAACGCUCGAUUAGAAAAUUCGACAAGAGCCAGGGCAUAUAAACUUUUUUCAUGUUUUAGAUAUCAGCCAUAUUUAGACAUUGUUAAAAUUACUAAAUUUAGAAAAGCAUUAACAAGACUGAGAGUGUCAUCACAUUAUUUAGAGGUAGAAGCGGGUAGAUGGGAUAGGCCACAAAAAUAUCAUUUGACGAAAGAAAAUGUAGACUUUGUAAUACUCUAGAGGAUGAGUUUCAUUUUUUAUUUGAAUGACCCUGUAACAAGAUAUUAGACAAAUGCAUAUGAAAAAAUAUUUUUGGAAGAGACCUUAUGUAAUUAAAUUUAGAGAACUAUUUGAAUCUGAAAAUAUUUGGAUUGUUUAAAAAAUUUAGCAAUAUUUGUUUACAAAAGUUUUGAUAAAAGAGACAGUGCAUUGUAUCAACGAUAACCUUGUCCUCUCACUAUUUCAUAUAUAUGAUGCUUAUAUCAAGUCAUUGAUGUUAUCAUAAACAUUUUAUAUGUAUCACAUAUAUAAUAGACUAGAUAUGUUUUAAUGAAUAAGUAUUGACUUUUUAAUAGAACUAUUUUAUGUAUACCAUGCUAUAUCAUGCCAUUGAUGUUAAUAUGCAACUGCUGAUUGUAUUAUUAUUGUGUACUGAUGGGCAUAUUGCCUUUGUAUGAAUAAAGUUUAUCUAUCUCUAAUGGUGAGUAUAAGCCCAACCCAUUGACAAAUCUUUUGUGAAUGACAUUUUAGAGCACAAUGACCCUUUAAAGGCCAACUAUGCCUCAGACACGCUCUCACGUUCUCAAGAAUUUUUUUUUGUCUCUUGUUAAGUUUAAAGAAAAAAAAAAAAAAACUCAUCUACCAUAUAUAAAACUAUCCUUUACUCUAUUGGCGUUUGGUAUACUUUUAUUGAAUUAAUUUUUUGAGCGGAAGUCAAUCAAGUAGUACUUUGUUAACAAUUUGUUUUAUGAUGCAUUACUGAAUGUUCAGUGCUAUUUUUUCAUUGAUUAAACAUCCCAAAUGUUCUGAAUAUAUUAUAAAACAUCAUUUAACCUAUGUUUGACUUUAAGAAAGAAUUAGAAAAAUAUUAAACGAAAUAUAGCUUUCUUAGGCAUAUUCUGUUUUAAUGAUAAACAUGUGUUUUAACAAUCCCCGACUAUCAUCUGUUUAAACACAGAUUAUUGCAAACAAUAUGGUGUUUGACAUAUUUGUUCUAUGUAUCUUAUCAUUGUGGAAUGUGAUAAAUGUUAUUGAAAAUCAACGUUUUCAGUUAAUCUAAAAUCAAUAUAUGUGGUAACAUAUUUUAUUCAUUUUAUUGUUACAUAUUGAUAGAUACUUAACUUCAAAUGCAUAUUAAGUGUUACACUACUUUUAGUAAUACAGACAAUAAAAAUAUUACUG